GACGAACGCUGGCGGCGUGCUUAACACAUGCAAGUCGAACGAAGUGGCGAACGGGUGUGUAAUACGUGAGUAACCUGCCCUCCUUUUUGGGAUAAGCCUUGGAAACGGGGUCUAAUACCGAAUAAAGGGGGUUGGACUCGCGGCCUAUCAGCUUGUUGGUGGGGUGAUGGCCUACCAAGGCGGUGACGGGUAGCCGGCCUGAGAGGGUGACCAGCCAAAUGAGAAAUGGGAUACGGCCCAGAGGGAUGCGGGAGGCGGCAGUAGGGGAUAUUGCACGAUGGGCGGAUGCCGGAAGCAGGGGCGCCGGGUGGGGGAUGUAGGGUUUCGGGUUAUAAACAUCGGUGGCUAUCGAACGGGUAGGUGGAGAAGAAGCGCCGGCUAACUACGUGCCAGCAGCCGCGGUAAUAC
rnacentral:rRNA from 1 species